rnacentral:rRNA from 1 species
AUUGAACGCUGGCGGCAGGCCUAACACAUGCACGUCGAACGAGUGGCGGACGGGUGAGUAAUGUCUGGGAAACUGCCCGAUGGAGGUGGAUAACUACUGGAAACAGUAGCUAAUACCGCAUACCAUCGGAUGUGCCCAGAUGGGAGUAGCUAGUAGGUGGGGUAAAGGCUCACCUAGGCGACGAUCCCUAGCGGGUCUGAGAGGAUGACCAGCCACACGGGAACAGAGACAAGGUCGAGACUCCUACGUGAGGCAGCGGUGGGGAAUAUUGCACAAUGGGCGCAAGCCUGAUGCAGACAUGCCGUGUGUGUGAAGAAGGCCUUCGGGUUGUAAAGUAAUUUCAGCGAGGGGGCGUUACUCGCAGAAGAAGCACCGGCUAACUCCGGGCCAGCAGCCGCGGUAAUAC